UGGACCAAUGAUGAUUGGUGGUGUAUGAGUUAUGGAUGAUGAGCAAUACAUAUGAGGUUCAA
rnacentral:snoRNA from 2 species